rnacentral:misc_RNA from 1 species
UCUCCGAUGGUGAACCAGCGGAGGGAUCAUUACAGAGUUUUCACAACUCCCAACCCUUGUGAACCGUACUCAUUCUGUUCUCGUCGCUUCCGUCGGGGGGGACGGGGGGGCCCGAAAGGGCCUCUCCGCCCCGACCGCCGGGGGCGGCGGGCCCUACGAACCUUUAUACCUCAACCAUCAGAAACUGUUUGAGAAAACAAACAAAAUAAUAAAAACUUUAAAAAAAGGACCCCUUGGCUCUGGCUUCGAUGAAGAACGCAGUAGAUCGGAAGAGAAAAC